rnacentral:rRNA from 1 species
UACGAAGGGGGCUAGCGUUGCUCGGAAUCACUGGGCAUAAAGCGCACGUAGGCGGAUUGCUAAGUCAGGGGUGAAAUCCUGGAGCUCAACUCCAGAACUGCCUUUGAUACUGGCGACCUUGAGUCCGGGAGAGGUGAGUGGAACUGCGAGUGUAGAGGUGAAAUUCGUAGAUAUUCGCAAGAACACCAGUGGCGAAGGCGGCUCACUGGCCCGGUACUGACGCUGAGGUGCGAAAGCGUGGGGAGCAAACAGG